UACAGAGGGUGCGAGCGUUGUUCGGAAUUACUGGGCGUAAAGGGCUCGUAGGCGGCCAACUAAGUCGGAUGUGAAAUCCCCAGGCUCAACCUGGGAACUGCAUCCGAUACUGGAUGGCUUGAAUUCGGGAGAGGGAUGCAGAAUUCCAGGUGUAGCGGUGAAAUGCGUAGAUAUCUGGAGGAAUACCGGUGGCGAAGGCGGCAUCCUGGACCGACAUUGACGCUGAGGAGCGAAAGCCAGGGGAGCAAACGGG
rnacentral:rRNA from 1 species